GUGAGUGCGAAGGAGGAGAAGAGGAAGAGGCCGUUGCUGUCCAGGAAGAGGCCUUUGCGCUUCUGGUGCAGGACGAGGGCCAGCAUGGCAAAGAAGGUGAAGAUGAAGAGGAUGAAGAUCUGGCCCUCGGUGACCAGACAGGGACUCACUCUGUCACUCGGGCUGGAGUGUAGUGACUCAAGAGAUCCUUCCACCUCAGCCCUCAGAGCAGCUGGGACUACAGGAAUCAAAGGCUGGGUGCAGUGGCUCACACGUGCAAUCCCAGCACUUUGGGAGGCAGAGGCAGGUGAAUUACCUGAAGUCAGGACUUCGAGACCAGCCUGGCCAACAUGGUGAAAGCUCAUCUCCACUAAAAAUACAAAAAAUAGCUGGGUGUAGUAGUGGGCACCUGUAAUCCAGCCUGUAAUCAAGAGGCUGAGGCAGAAUUGCUUGGACCAGAAAGGUGGAGGUUGCAGUGAGCCGAGAUCGCGCUACUGCACUCCAGCCUGGGUGACGACUAGAACUCCAUCUCAAAAAAAUAAAUAAAAAAUAAAAUAAAAUUGAUAAGCCAAGAAAUAGAAGUUGGGUAUAGUUUUUUUUUAGAGGGUGGACUUUGGAGACUGUCUGGGUUCGUAUCCCAGCUCUGCCACUAAUGAGAUCUUGAGCAAGUUACUUUACGUCUUGUGCCUCAACGUCCUCAUCUGUAAAAUGGAAGGUCGUGGUUUAACUAAUAGAUGCAAAAACUUAGAGCAGGGCCUGAGCCACAGAAAGUGCUACAUAAUGUUUGUGAUUUUUAUAAGCCUAUUAUUUGGAAAUACGAAUUUGACUCCGGUAAAAAAAAGCUAAAAGAAGCUAAAGUGAUUCUCUCUGGUGCCAGGGAAGGGUGGAACACGGAUUGGCAGAAAAGGAAGGGGUUCCUGGGGGGUUGCUUUUAAAAAGUUGAAGGUUUUGGUAUUUGAUUUAUCAUGGGCAUUAAUUAUAGCGCUUUCUUUUCUUCUCUCUCUCUCUUUUUUCUUUUUUGAGAUAGUCACUCUGUCACCCAGGCUAUAGUACAGUGGCACGAUCUCGGCUCCCUGCAACCUCCAUCUGCCAGGCUUAAGUGAUUCUGGUGCCUCAGCCUCCUGAGUAGCUGGAUUACAGGGGUGGGCCACCACACCCGGAUAAUUUUUAUAUUUUUAGUAGGAACGGGGAUUCUCAAUGUUGCCCAGGCUGGUCUCGAACUCCUGGACUCAAGUGAUCCACCCACCUUGGCCUCCCAAAGUGCUGGGAUUACAGGCAUGAGCCAUGACAUCUGGCCUAAUUAAAUACUUUCAUUAUAAUACGAAAACUGGCAACAAAGCAGGUGGAAGCUGGAAUGGGUUACCUUCAGAGGUAGUGAGCAAAGCACAGAUGCAGCAGAGGAAAUCCAAGCAUCCUAGGAGCUGGACAGGAUGAUUCUGC